rnacentral:lncRNA from 1 species
UGGUCAGGAAAAUGCAGAGGAGGAGGAUAUGGAUAACAAUGAUGAUCUUGCUAGAGAUGCCAUUGAAAGUGAUGACAAGGAAGAACAGGCACCAGCAGAACUGCCUCCCAAAACAUCAAAAUUUAUAGCAUCAGUGCCCCUGUGAUGGUUGAGGUGGAGGGUGAGGCUGACCCACUUGAGAUUGCUAUGAAAGAGCUUCGUGAAAGGAAGAUACUCUUUACCAUCCGCCACUACCUCCCCUGA